rnacentral:rRNA from 1 species
AUACGGGGGGUGCAAGCGUUGUCCGGAAUCAUUGGGCGUAAAGGACGCGUAGGCGGGUUGGCAAGUCAGAUGUGAAAUCCUACAGCUUAACUGUAGAACUGCAUUUGAAACUGCUAACCUAGAGUAUGGGAGGGGGAGAUGGAAUUAGUGGUGUAGGGGUAAAAUCCGUAGAUAUCACUAGGAAUACCGAAAGCGAAGGCGAUCUCCUGGAACAUAACUGACGCUAAGGCGUGAAAGCGUGGGGAGCAAACAGGAUUAGAAACCCUAGUAGUCC